CUUAAUUCCAACGGGUUUCUAACGUAUUAAUUUAUUAUUUCCAUUAAAACAAGUCACAGUGUAUAAAUAAUUUCCAGUAAACUAUUUCGGAGACAUAAAUCGGUCUCGUUGAUCUAGGGUGAAACACUGUUUUAUUUAACAAAUCAUACGUCAUCAUACAAUCGUGUUCAAGAAACAAAUUUUAAUUUUUUGACCUGCGGUCUUAGUGGCUUGGUAUAACGUGGACUUAUAUGUGCAUUGUUGUCUCCCAGUGAGAGAUUACAACAGUUAGUGCAAGUCAGCCUACUCGUCAACAGAAAUCUGGAAUUCUAACUAAACCUUAUAAUCUGAGUCUCCCAAGAAGGAACCUAAAGGUCCAGCUUGGCACUACUCUGAAUGGUGAGAGGUUACAAAAGUUUGUGUCUACUCGUCAACAGAAUCUGGAAUUCUCACUAAACCUUAAAAUCUGAGUCUCCGAAGAAAGAACCUAAAGGCCCAGCUUGGCACCACUCCGAAUGGGACUUACCUGCUUCAUGUCACCUCAAUGGUUCUCAUCAAACUUAAUGAAGAACGCCGAGUAUACGGCAGUCCAGAGCUCCAAGGAGAAACAGAUGGACGCAAGACUACCAUACCUAUUGGAGGCUAAACACCAAUAUUUACACUGAAUGUCUGUCCAUCAACGAUGCUUUCAGUCGUAGUAUUGCAAAUCGUCAAUUUCUCCCUUGUA